UACGUAGGGGGCAAGCGUUGUCCGGAAUCAUUGGGCGUAAAGAGCUUGUAGGCGGUUUGUCGCGUCUGCCGUGAAAAUCCGGGGCUCAACCCCGGACUUGCGGUGGGUACGGGCAGACUAGAGUGUGGUAGGGGAGACUGGAAUUCCUGGUGUAGCGGUUAAAUGCGCAGAUAUCAGGAGGAACACCGAUGGCGAAGGCAGGUCUCUGGGCCACUACUGACGCUGAGAAGCGAAAGCGUGGGGAGCGAACAGG
rnacentral:rRNA from 1 species